CGGGAGGCAGCAGUUAGGAAUCUUCCGCAAUGGGCGCAAGCCUGACGGAGCGACGCCGCUUGGAGGAUGAAGCCCUUCGGGGUGUAAACUCCUGAACUGGGGGCGAAAUCCCUGAUGAGGGGGCUGACGGUACCCAGGUAAUAGCGCCGGCCAACUCCGUGCCAGCAGCCGCGGUAAUACGGAGGGCGCGAGCGUUACCCGGAUUUACUGGGCGUAAAGGGCGUGUAGGCGGUUUGGCGCGUCUGGCGUUAAAGACCGCGGCUCAACCGUGGGGGUGCGCUGGAUACGGCCAAGCUAGACGGCUGGAGGGGGUGGUGGAAUUCCCGGAGUGGCGGUGAAAUGCGCAGAUACCGGGAGGAACGCCGAUAGCGAAGGCAGCCACCUGGCCAGUUUGUGACGCUGAGGCGCGAGAGCGUGGGGAGCAAACCGGAUUAGAUACCCGGGUAGUCCACGCCCUAAAC
rnacentral:rRNA from 1 species